AGAGAAAAGAAGGGAGAUCAAUAGAUGAAGUUGCUUGCUAGAAGAAAAGGAAGUAGAAAAAAAAUUAUUAGUAAUAUUUGAAUUAAAUUUGGGGAUUAUAAA